CAUCUCGGGGGAAGGAGGUUAUCGGGGCUGGCUUCCCUUUUGUUCUGGUCCUGGAGCUCCGCGCGUUGGUUGUUCUCUAAUUGGUGCGAUUUCAGUUGGCAAUUUCCUAUGCUUUUUACUAUGGAAGAUGGCAGCAAGGUGAUCCAGGUGCUGUUUACUCUGCACUCCGUCAGGAGGCUAGAGUUAUCAGGUUUUCCAACCAGUUAUGGGCAGUAGUGGAUAUAUGUGUUCAAUGAUGGAUUGAUGAGAGGGUCACCUUUGAAUAUAGAUAAUAGAUGGAGUUGUAAAAUAGUGCCGCUGCUGCCCUCUAGUUACUACCAAAUUGAUGG